GUGGGGAAUCUUGCGCAAUGGGCGAAAGCCUGACGCAGCCAUGCCGCGUGAAUGAUGAAGGUCUUAGGAUUGUGAAAUUCUUUCACCGGGGACGAUAAUGACGGAACCCGGAGAAGAAGCUCCGGCUAACUUCGUGCCAGCAGCCGCGGUAAUACGAAGGGGGCUAGCGUUGCUCGGAAUUACUGGGCGUAAAGGGCGCGUAGGCGGACAGCUUAGUCAGAGGUGAAAGCCCAGGGCUCAACCUUGGAAUUGCCUUUGAUACUGGCUGUCUUGAGUUUGGGAGAGGUGAGUGGAACUCCGAGUGUAGAGGUGAAAUUCGUAGAUAUUCGGAAGAACACCAGUGGCGAAGGCGACUCACUGGCCCAAUACUGACGCUGAGGCGCGAAAGCGUGGGGAGCAAACAGGAUUAGAUACCCCUGUAGUCC
rnacentral:rRNA from 1 species